ACGCACGCUGGCGGCGUGCCUAAUCCCUGCACGUAGAACGCUGAAGGAGGAGCUUGCUUCUCCGGAUGAGUUGCGAACGGGUGAGUAACGCGUAGGUAACCUGCCUGGUAGCGGGGGAUAACUAUUGGAAACGAUAGCUAAUACCGCAUAAGAGUAGAUGUUGCAUGACAUUUGCUUAAAAGGUGCAAUUGCAUCACUACCAGAUGGACCUGCGUUGUAUUAGCUAGUUGGUGGGGUAACGGCUCACCAAGGCGACGAUACAUAGCCGACCUGAGAGGGUGAUCGGCCACACUGGGACUGAGACACGGCCCAGACUCCUACGGGAGGCAGCAGUAGGGAAUCUUCGGCAAUGGACGGAAGUCUGACCGAGCAACGCCGCGUGAGUGAAGAAGGGUUUCGGAUCGUAAAGCUCUGUUGUAAGAGAAGAACGAGUGUGAGAGUGGAAAGUUCACACUGUGACGGUAUCUUAACAGAAAGGGACGGCUAACUACGUG
rnacentral:rRNA from 1 species